GCCUGGGUGGCUCAGUUGGUUAAGUGUCUGACUUCAGCUUAGGUCAUGAGCUCACGGUUCAGUUCGUGGGUUCGAGCCCCACAUCAAGCU
rnacentral:tRNA from 1 species